AGUAAAGAGCUGGAUGAGCUGCUCUGUCUUUUUUUCUCUGUGAUCUUUGUUCCAUUAAGUGAGAAUAAGUAAUGUUAACUGGAACAGUCUGCUAGAGGAAAUGUCAGGCCUGCAGCAGCAUUUAAACAAUUCAUCUGUAAGUAGUGACAACUUUGACAGAAGAAGUUUGACCAUGCUGACUUAAAGGCAGACUUGUUUGAGGUGCAGAUUGGUGCAUUUGAAGACAUCUCAAAUUUCAGCUCAAGCUGCUAGGGCAGGAUUCUUAUGUGGUGGCUGAAGGUGAUUGCCAACAGACUUGGGAUGAAGAGGACAGUAGGAUAUCGUGCAGUGAAACCUAAGCACCUUUAUCAGACUGUCGCCUCACUUCACAACCGGCUUUCUGUGAACACAGCAAACAAAAAAAGCCCAUUCUUCAGUUUCUGAAGUUCUCUCGUGUACCCACAGCAGAGCUGUCCUUGACAAUGUCAUUUCCGAAUAUCCUCCAAACCUCAUCAGUCUUUUCUGGUACUGAGACUUCUCUCAGCACAAAUAACUGUGUUGCUAUCAUUGCACAGAGGGGAAUGAUGCGUUUUACUAUCAUCUUUACAAUGAAGCCUGGUUUUAUACCCAGAUACAUGGUGCAAGCCUUUUGGGCACUGCCACAUUAAAUUAACUGCAAAAACAAAGGAAAUGCAGUUUUUGUUAGGGUGAAUGAUAUUGAAAACUACAUGCAGCACACAGAGAGAUGCAAUAUGCAUUCUUAAUUCCUGCUUAAAAUGGACUGCAGCAACUUUGAUCAUCGUGGACUGGCUGCUGAAUGUGAAUUCUGCAACUUUGAAAUUAAGGGACUACAUACAGUCUUUGGCUGCUUAAGCACAGGAAUCUUAAGCAGAAGUGGAAAAAAAUAUUGCCUAAGGCAUAUGUGAAAUGGUCACUGGGAUUAAUCUUUAGCAUGUUUCUGUCUUUAGAGGAUGCAGAGCAAC